rnacentral:piRNA from 1 species
UAACCAGUACGUACAACAGUCACUGAAUC